rnacentral:rRNA from 1 species
UACGUAGGGACCGAGCGUUGUCCGGAUUCAUUGGGCGUAAAGAGCUCGUAGGCGGCCACUCAAGUCGAAUGUGAAACCUCGAGGCUUAACCUCGAGCCUGCAUUCGAUACUGGGCGGCUAGAGUCUGGUAGGGGGAUCUGGAAUUCCUGGUGUAGCGGUGGAAUGCGCAGAUAUCAGGAGGAACACCGGUGGCGGAAAGCGCUCUGCUAGGCCGCAACUGACACUGAGGGACGAAAGCUAGGGGAGCGAAAGGG